GCUGGCGUAGCUCAACGGAUAGAGCAAUCCCGUCCUAAGGGAUAGGUUGAAGGUUCGAUUCCUUUCGCCGGCG
rnacentral:tRNA from 1 species